UAUGGAAUCUUCCACAAUGGGCGAAAGCCUGAUGGAGCAACGCCGCGUGUGUGAUGAAGGGUUUCGGCUCGUAAAACACUGUUGUAAGAGAAGAAUGACAUUGAGAGUAACUGUUCAAUGUGUGACGGUAUCUUACCAGAAAGGAACGGCUAAAUACGUACCAG
rnacentral:rRNA from 1 species